rnacentral:rRNA from 1 species
UGCCAGCCGCCGCGGUAAGACGAAGGUGGCAACCGUUGUUCGGAAUCACUGGGCAUAAAGAGCACGUAGGCGGGUGCGUCAGUCGGGUGUGAAAUCCCUCGGCCCAACCGAGGAACUGCGCCCGAUACUACGCAUCUUGAGGGCAGGAGGGGAGCGUGGAACUCCUGGUGGAGCGGUGAAAUGCGUUGAUAUCAGGAGGAACACCGGCGGCGAAGGCGACGCUCUGGCCUGCUUCUGACGCUGAGGUGCGAAAGCCAGGGGAGCAAACGGGAUUAGAUA